UUGCCGUUCACCUGGCUCCUGCCGCCGCAGGUGGUGCUGCGAUCGGAGCUUCCCAUCCCCUCGGUCCAUUACGUUGGUGCUGACCACGGUGUGGCUGUAUUCCCACUAGGCUUAGAGCUUUCAUACACGUCUUUUUUAUUUAAUAAAAUACUAUUUUGAUAGAAUACUUAAUAAACGAUUUCAUAAACGUCUUUAUAAUUACUGUGAGUUCGGGAGCACUGCUCACCUGCAUUUGUAGAUGAGCAGGCAGACUCGGGAAGCAGAGGCUCCCGUCGGUUCCCAGAUGAGGAAACUAAUGCAGCCUUAAAUAGUUCCUUGAGAGCAAAGACCAAGUUUCCGUUUCCUCAUCAAAUCCACGGCGUCGUCGGGCAUAGUAGGUACUGAAUUUUCGUUGAAAACAGUGAUAGUGGUAAACCCAGAAAAACUAUGUGAGGCCCAAAGGCCAAGGUUAGUAUUUGCAUGUUGGUCUUCUCCAAGUUAAACAUGAAGAAUUAAAGAUUCAUUUUAUCCUACCAAAAAUAUUCUUUAAUAGCAAGGUGUGUUUGUUUAGUGUAGAUCUGGGGAUGGAGUGACCAGCACAAAACUUGGGAAAUGGUAGGUGCUUGUCACCUGCAAAUGCCCGCAUUUACCUGUGUGCGUGCCCGGGCAGUGUUACACAAGUGGUUGACUUCUCUCGAGUUGUUUAAUCCUCAGGAAAAUGUAAUGACCUCAUUUCACAGAUGAGGAAACUGAAGCCUGAAGAAAGUAAGUAAUUUGCCCAAGGUCACGCAGCUAGUAGCAGAUUCAAGGAUAAAACAACCCAGGCAGCUUGGUGCCAGAGUUGGUGUUCUUAAUGCUGAAUGUCCCUUAUGAAAUGAGUGUCAAUGGAGUUACACGUCUGGGAAGAUACUAAGUGAAAUUGGUUGAAGAGUUUAAUACCCAAACUAAGGACUUAAAAUUUGGUGAGAUUAUGGUUCGAAUAAAUUCACACCAAGUUGUCCUUGGUAACUGAAGCUACCUGUCAGCAUCCUUUUUUUUUUUUUUUUGCAGCCCCUCUUUGAAGGUAUGAGUGGCCAGAAUAGAUGAUUUGGGGAGUUAUCUAGACUGCCAUUGUGAGAUAUCUCAACAAGAGAGGGGCUUUGGUGUUCCUGGAAGGAGAUGAGCAGGAAAGGGUGGAUGUUACAGACAUGCCCUCAGAGAGAGAAGCAGGUUCUUUUUAGCUCUUCUUUUGAACUCUGCUCUGACCUCCAGCUGAAAUGGGGCCGGGCAGCUUCAAAAGAAUUGUUGAUUGUCUUGGGCUCAGCUCCAGUGGGGGUGACUUUGAAGACCUUUGAAUAAUGAUAGUAAAGCAGGUAACUGGGUCUUUCAGGACCCCUCCCUGUACUUAUGGCCUCUGCUUGCUAAGGCACCCUUCUUGGUUUGGGGACAGAAUAUGACUACAAAGCCCCUGUAAGCUGUCUCAUUCAGUAUGUGCAGAGAAGAGGACUCUCAGAAGUGUAUAUAGCUUCCCAAAUUGUUAUUGUCUCUACCCGUAAUUUACC